rnacentral:rRNA from 1 species
CAAUGCAAGUCGAACGGGAUCCAGGCAGCUUGCUGUCUGGUGAGAGUGGCGAACGGGUGAGUAAUGCGUGACCAACCUGCCCCAUACUCCGGAAUAGCUCCUGGAAACGGGUGGUAAUGCCGGGUGUUCCGCAUCAUCGCAUGAUGGUGUGGGAAAGGGUUUACCGGUAUGGGAUGGGGUCGCGUCCUAUCAGCUUGUUGGUGGGGUGAUGGCCUACCAAGGCUUCGACGGGUAGCCGGCCUGAGAGGGCGACCGGCCACAUUGGGACUGAGAUACGGCCCAGACUCCUACGGGAGGCAGCAGUGGGGAAUAUUGCACAAUGGGCGAAAGCCUGAUGCAGCGACGCCGCGUGCGGGAUGACGGCCUUCGGGUUGUAAACCGCUUUUGAUUGGGAGCAAGCGAGAGUGAGUGUACCUUUCGAAUAAGCACCGGCUAACUACGUGCCAGCAGCCGCGGUAAUACGUAGGGUGCAAGCGUUAUCCGGAAUUAUUGGGCGUAAAGAGCUCGUAGGCGGUUCGUCGCGUCUGGUGUGAAAGUCCAUCGCUUAACGGUGGAUCUGCGCCGGGUACGGGCGGACUGGAGUGCGGUAGGGGAGACUGGAAUUCCCGGUGUAACGGUGGAAUGUGUAGAUAUCGGGAAGAACACCAAUGGCGAAGGCAGGUCUCUGGGCCGUUACUGACGCUGAGGAGCGAAAGCGUGGGGGAGCGAACAGGAU